AAAAAUCUUUUCCUGCGCGAUCGCGGCGCCACACGCGUGACAAACCCACGCCGACGCCGCCGCUCUCCUUGCUGGCUGCGCUCUCUCGCGACAUCGCGACGCUUCCCCGGUCCCCCCCUGCUGCGCACCGAGCCGGCCGGCGGGCGCGCGCAGCGGCGAUGGAUUCCACGGCCUGCCUCCGCCUCCCCUUCCUCCCCGCCCGGGCCCGCCACUCCUCCUCGUCGUCGUCGCCCCGACGCGCCCCUCGCACGCCCUCCGCCAUCAAAUGCUGCGCCGCCGACGCCGACUCCAGUUCUCUCUCGACAUCGUCAACGUCGCUGCGGCGGCCGGCCGUGGUGAACGGCGUAGACGGCCUCGCGGGUCCGCCCGUGCCUGUCCCAGACUCGCCGCCCCUCGCCUCGCGUGAUCUCCACUGGCUGCCUCGACCUCUCACCAGCGCCGACCUGAUGGACGCGAGCGGGAAGGGGCUCAAGGUUGCCUACCAGGGCUGCCCUGGAGCAUACAGUGAGGCGGCAGCGAAGAAGGCGUACCCGAAUUGCCAGACUGUGCCAUGUGAGCAUUUCGAUACUGCAUUCAAGGCUGUUGAAAAUUGGUUAGCUGAUAGGGCAGUGCUGCCACUUGAGAAUUCUUUGGGUGGUAGCAUACAUAGGAACUUUGACCUCUUACUUCGGCAUAGAUUACACAUUGUUGGAGAGGUCCGUUAUGCUGUUCGCCAUUGCUUGUUAGCCAAUCCUGGUGUCAAGAUUGAAAACUUGAAAAGUGCAAUGAGCCAUCCCCAGGCUCUUGCACAAUGUGAGAACACACUAACAGAUUUUGGAAUUGAACAUAGAGAAGCUGUUGAUGAUACUGCCGGUGCGGCAAAGAUUGUAGCAGAACGACAGCUCCAAGAUACUGGUGCGAUUGCCAGUUUGCUGGCGGCUGAACUUUAUGGACUGGAUGUUCUUGCUGAAAAUAUUCAGGAUGACAAAGAUAAUGUUACCCGUUUUAUGAUGCUGGCUCGAGAACCAAUAAUACCUCGCACUGAUAAACCAUUCAAGACUAGCAUAGUCUUUUCACUUGAGGAAGGACCAGGGCAGCUCUUUAAGGCACUUGGGGUGUUUGCACUGAGGGAAAUCAACCUAACCAAGAUAGAAAGUCGUCCACACAAGAAAAGGCCUCUUCGUAUAACUGACGACAGCUUUUCUACACCAUCAAAGCAGUUUGACUACCUCUUCUAUGUGGACCUUGAGGCAUCAAUGGCUGAUCCAAAGACUCAGAAUGCUCUUGGAAAUUUGAAGGAGUUCGCAACUUUUUUAAGAGUCCUAGGAAGCUAUCCUACAGAUAUGAACGAAGCUUAAAUAGCAAGUACCUUCUACACAUCACAUGCUAGUGGGUCCAAGCAUGUCUAACAAAUAAACUUGCAGCUUUUUGGAUUACCAGGGAUUGAUUGAAUGUGGGCAGUCAAUUUCACAGCCAGUUGAGAAGUCAUAAAUAGUGUCAGACUGAUGCUAAUUUGAAGAGCUAAAGCAUAUCCAUGUAAGAUAUGCAAGGAAGCUGCUUCCUAUAGCCCUCGCAUGUUGCAACUUAUGUUUCUCAGAGCUUUAUACUGAUAGUUACUGUGGAGUAUGGAGUACCAUCUAUGCUCUAUAGACCUUAUGUUAUGCCUUAUGUUCUUCUAAGCAGUCAUGUUCAACGGAGGUAGAGCUCAAAGGAUUGAGUGUUUGGUAGGUGCUGGUCGUACAGGUAAUGGUGUAGAGCAAUUUUGCUUGUUCCCAGUCUCAGGGGCUGCGCUGGUCAAACCCUUUCAGUCGGCUUGCCACCUAACUGUCUUGUAUGUUCAUGUCCUGUAUGUGCUCAUAGUGGCGAGCUCGUAGCAAUUAGUUCAAUCAUGUUUCCCUCAUGUCAUCGUGGCACUGUACGUCUGUACCAACUGUUCGUUCUGUGUCUAUGACAUUCUUUUGGUGGUUUUGGAAGGCACAGUGUGGAGAGGUUCAGUUUGUACGGGUGUGGCCAAACCUUCACCAAAUUUUCUGCCUUCCAAAGAAAAUUGCAGUACUCACAUUGUUGUACUUCAGAGUUCAGAGUGGCAGGUCAAUGAGUUGCAUUUUAGUAGUCGUAACCUUCCUUGGUGGGUAAUUGUUGAGUUGUUGACUGCGUAAUAUUCUCCACGACGAGCAUGUUUGUUAAUCAAUAAAUAUACUGGUGGAAAUUGGACAUGUGGAGAGUAGGUGAUAUUCCUCUUUGGAGGCUACUCUGGCAGCGCUGGAAGAAACAUUCCAGCUGCGAGGGCAUGUGCUUCCGGACUAAUACGAUUCUGCACUGUAAUCUUUGUUAUUUCAUCAAGUUGUCACAAAAUAUCUCAGAAAUUACCAAUUCUCUGAUGG